rnacentral:sRNA from 2 species
ACAUCCAUUAACUUAAUCCGAGCCACCCCGUACCAUACGACGGCAGCCUAUUGUGACAAAUAUGUCAAAUGGGUUUUUUUUUGAUGUUUUUCAUUGUAAUUACUUUAAUUCCACUUACAGACACUCAUUGAUAGAUGUCAUCAUCAAUAUAUAUACAGAUCUAUAUGUGGUUCCCCACUAUGCUGCGCCUGGCGGUCGCAGUGUAUAGGUGGUGGGUUGGGUGGCACGCCCACGAGUAUAUAUAUCACUAUGAGCGCAAUCAUUUUGUUACGUUGGCUUUUUGCUAUGAAUAACCUAGUGGUCAUAGUGCUAUCUUAUCACAUAUAUAUUGUGGUUUCCACACUAUGGGCUGGUGAUUGCAGUGUAUCCCCUUGUCUGGCCGCGAGGACACAAUUAGCGUAUUUUUUAGCGUACUGAAUCAUAUGAGGAAUCAGCU